AGUAACUGCACAAGUGUUGAUAUCUGAGUUGCGUCAAAUGGUAUCAGUGUCAGGGGAACCAAUUCAGAGACUGGGAGCAUACAUCUUGGAAGGGCUUGUUGCAAGGUUGGGUGCAUCAGGAAGUUCCAUAUGCAAAUCCUUGAGAUGCAAAGAACCCGCAAGUUUUGAGCUGUUGUCUUAUAUGCACGUUCUUUACGAGAUUUGCCCUUACUUCAAAUUUGGAUACAUGUCAG
rnacentral:misc_RNA from 1 species